rnacentral:rRNA from 1 species
CCUACGGGUGGCAGCAGUGAGGAAUAUUGGUCAAUGGACGGAAGUCUGAACCAGCCAUGCCGCGUGCAGGAAGACGGCUCUAUGAGUUGUAAACUGCUUUUGUACAAGGGUAAACCUGAAUACGUGUAUUCAGCUGAAAGUACUGUACGAAUAAGGAUCGGCUAACUCCGUGCCAGCAGCCGCGGUAAUACGGAGGAUCCAAGCGUUAUCCGGAUUUAUUGGGUUUAAAGGGUGCGUAGGCGGAUUGAUAAGUUAGAGGUGAAAUGUCCGAGCUUAACUCGGGAACUGCCUCUAAUACUGUUGGUCUAGAGAGUAGAUGCGGUAGGCGGAAUGUAUGGGGUAGCGGUGAAAUGCUUAGAGAUCAUACAGAACACCGAUUGCGAAGGCAGCUUACCAAUCUAUAUCUGACGUUGAGGCACGAAAGCGUGGGGAGCAAACAGGAUUAGAUACCCCUGUAGUC